rnacentral:rRNA from 1 species
UGACAGUACUCCUACGGGGAGGCAGCAGUGAGGAAUAUUGGACAAUGGGCGCAAGCCUGAUCCAGCCAUGCCGCGUGCAGGAUGACGGUCCUAUGGAUUGUAAACUGCUUUUGUACAGGAAGAAACAACUCCCUCGUGAGGGAGCUUGACGGUACUGUAAGAAUAAGGAUCGGCUAACUCCGUGCCAGCAGCCGCGGUAAUACGGAGGAUCCAAGCGUUAUCCGGAAUCAUUGGGUUUAAAGGGUCCGUAGGCGGUUUAAUAAGUCAGUGGUGAAAGCCCCAUCGCUCAACGGUGGAACGGCCAUUGAUACUGUUAAACUUGAAUUAUUAGGAAGUAACUAGAAUAUGUAGUGUAGCGGUGAAAAUGCUUAGAGAUUACAUGGAAUACCAAUUGCGAAGGCAGGUUACUACUAAUGGAUUGACGCUGAUGGACGAAAGCGUGGGUAGCGAACAGGAUUAGAUACCCUGGUAG